CAGCCACAGCUCUUCUGACCAUUACUGUAAAUAGAAAUCUCCUGCCUCCUUCUUUCCCUAAUGGUAUUGAAACUGUAACUAUCAAUGAAAAUGAACCAUUAGGGUUCUCAGUUACACAACUGGUUGCUACUGAUGGUGAUCCUCGACCACCCAACAACGAAAUACGAUAUGUAGUUGCUGCAAACCCUAGUCGACCAGCUACUACUGCUGACGGCGGUGAUUACUUGUUUCUUAAUCCUGAAGAUGGUCAGGUUACUCUCAAACGAUCAGUCAGUGGAGUUGCUUUCAGUACUAUGCAGUUACUAGUGAGUGCUGUUGAUCGUGGUUUUCCUACAAGAACCGGUACAGUUCAACUUAAUGUUAUUAUACAGAAAGAUGAAGAUACCUUAACAACUACAAAUUAUAAUAGAAUCAUUCAGGAGAGUCUAGCUGUAGAUAGUACAGUAUUAGCCGUUAGUGCGUCA